AGACAACAGGAGAGAAAGAUGGGGAGUCAGGAAAACACAGAUUUCAGCGCCUGCUCCUCCACUUCCUCUCCAAGGGGCCCAAGGCAAAGGGCUCUGCCUCAGUUUCCCUAGUAGUGCAAAAGGAUGACGACGCCCACACCUUGUGAGCUUCCUCCAAAGGAUGCGCGCAGCCGCGGAGGGGCCCCUUGGCGCACAGUCGGCCCUCGCCCAUGGCCCGCCCUGGCUUAGGAGCUGCAGAGAGCCAGACAUGGUGCCUUGACCUGCCUUCCAGGUGUCCCAAGCCUGCUGAGGGACAGACGUCCACACUGCUUCUGCCAGUGGGCAAGAUGGAACGACCAGACGAUGGGAUGCAGACGGGCAGGGGCUGCCCAACACACGGAGCUCCAAGGGCGGUCAGGACACACCAUGAAAACAGCCGCCGCUGAGGAGCCUCAGGACACGCGCAGAGCUGUGCUGGCAGCCUGACUUUCAUCCGAUCCUCAGUCAGCCCUGCAAGGGCUCACAACCCCGUCAAGCCGCCAGCGUCACAGAGAGAGGCACCUCCGCCGGCCCGCCCUCCUCCGUCCCUUGCUCUUCCUGCCCUGGGGCCAGGCUGGUCCCUCAUCAUCCACCGGCACCCCCUCAUGGUGUCUCCCCUCAGGUGCUCCCUCUCCCCGCCCCCACCCGUCAGAAUCCAGCCGUUUGCAGGCAGACGGAAGUUCACAUCCCCCCACGCCUUACAUGAACUGUGUGGCCCGGAGCAAGCCACUCAUGCUUCUGGAGCCUCAGUUUCCUCUUUUGCAUACGGGGCCAUCCGGGCAGCUCUGGAGGGACAUGGAAUGAGCUACAGUAUGUAAACCAGCCCAGGGUCGCAUUAUGCUGGUCGUGGUGGCACAGGAGUGGGUGACUUCUUCCCGGUGGGUGACCGAGGGCAGGACAAGGGCCUGGGCAGGGCACAGUCAGGAGGCUGUGGCUUGGAUGCUAGAGACAGUGGUGACCAGGACCAUGUUUAAGUGAGACCAAACAGCAGGGCGUUCCAGCCAGUGUCCCACAGGAAGUGGCUGCUGAGAGGAUGGGGCCCAGCCUGGGGCACCCCGCGGGCGGGCAGUGGCACCACCCCAGGCCUGGCCGCCAGGCUGAGGUUUGGGGGCAAACCUCGCAACAGCCCUCUCAGUAUUUGUAUCCCCACUUUACAGACGAGGACAGCGCGGCACAGAAAGGCUCACCACAGGUUUGGACUGAAGUACCACCACGCACGUCAUAGUCUGCCCCGUCCUGGACCUGGGCUGAGCAGGAUGUGGACAGAUUCCCAAGGAAGCAGGCAGCUGGGCCGACAGCCAGCCAGGCCCGGUCCACCCCAAGCAGCCAAAUUCUUCCCGCCUGCCUCUGACCCACCCUGGGGCUCCGAGAAAGAAGCCGGGCUCCAAAGACAAUUUCUAAUAAAGCUAAACGAGAGGAAGCUCUGAAAUGAGAGCGGGGGCGGGGGGGCCCCGGGCCUUUGAACCUGCUGGGGUGGCACUGGCCGGUGCCCCAGUGGCCUCCACACUCAGCCUCCCUUAUGAAAAUAGGCCGGGUGCGUGGGCCUCGGGCAGCCUGGAGACGGAUGCAGGUCCGUUGGCACCCUCAGCCGGCAAUGUGCCGCAGGGCGCCCGGAGCCCAGCCCAGGUCGGGCGGGUGACACUGGCAAUGCUGACCUGCCCCCAGUGUUUGGCUGGGCCGCGGAAGGAGACUGGCAGGUCCUGGGCGGGGAGGCCUUGACCAGCGGAGAGGCAGAGCACAGAGGUCACGGGCCGGGGAUGGGGUCAGACUGCCCACGGCAGAUCCUGGCUCUGCCCUCCGAAGGGCCCCAGUUUGUAGGGGGAGACUGGGUCUAGCUUGCAGCCCCCUGGGGGCAGGCGGGACGGAUUACCGGGAGGCAGGAGGGCUUGCUUUCGGGGGGGUCUGAGCCCCCCACCCCAGCGAAGCCUCUUCCGGCCGGGGAGGGAGGGCACAGCCCACGCCCUCAGCCUCGCCCUCCUCCCGCCCUCCGUCCCCCAUCCCCCAUCCCGCAGGAGGCCCUGUCUGCUCGCCGCUGCUCUUCGGCCCUUUCCCCACACUUCCACCGAGGAUUUAUGGUUUUAAUAAUGCAGACUUUGUCCACCAGCCUCCCUUCUGUUUAGGCCCCUCUAAAGAUCCUUAAAAUUAAAACACUAAUCAGGAAUUUAUUUUCUCAUCAAUCCUGCCCUUCA
ensembl:lncRNA